UUUUAUGGCUGAGCAUACCUGUACAUAAAGAUACUGUAUAUACAAACCCCUGCUUGCAUUGAGCAGCAACCGUGCUUACAAAUCACUCUAUAACAAAAACAUUUAUUUGCAUCUUGCAUUUCCAAUCCUUCUUACUACUUUUUCCCUAGCUGACCCUUUUUAUACCCUUCUCCUCCUGUACUAGUAAUGGUCAUGCCCCCUUUAUUAUACGUUUCUUAUUCUCCAACAUGCAACCAACUAUUCUGCAUAUUCUCCACCCCCGUGUCAGGUGAUCUUCCUGGUCACUUGCCAUGUUUUUUUUUUUUUUUUUUUUUUUUUCUCCCUGCACGUCAUUAGUGCGGGCUCCCACAUGAUGAGAGCAGGGCUUACCUGUCCCUCCCCUCUCCCCACUUGGAGGCAACGCCCCCUUUUCCACACUGACCCAUAGCAACGCAGGCUCCUUUACAGACCCCUCCCACCUUACUCCUCCCCCUCUCCUAUUUAAAAGCCAAGCAGCCCCACAAUGUCAGACAUUGCUGGAUGACUGCAGCAGCUGUACACACUCUACACUGCUUGUGUUUUCUUCCCAUCUUCCGAUCCCUCUACUGACCUCUCUGGCCACUUUUUGUCAUUACAGGUAAAAAUAUAUAUAUAUACAAUCAAUAAACUUUUACGCUGUGACACUUCGGGCCAAAGGUCUUGCUACGCUGUGAUUGAUAUUAGAUGCCAGUCCUCACUCCUCUCCUUACCAUCUGAGGCUUGCCAUGCGUCCCGAUUGCGAUGUCCUUUUAAGGGGUGUGCUGAGCCGUUGAAACUUCUCGGGUGAAAAGUUGUCUGUUACACUUUCUGACUCCACACAUACUUC